CUCAGUUCAGAUCGUAGGCUGCAACUCGCCUACGUGAAGGAGGAAUCGCUAGUAAUCGCAGGUCAGCAUACUGCGGUGAAUACGUUCCCGGGCCUUGUACACACCGCCCGUCACACCAUGGAAGUUGGCCAUGCCCGAAGCCGUUACUCCAACCCUUGUGGAGGAGGACGUCGAAGGUGGGGCUGAUGACUGGGGUGAAGUCGUAACAAGGUAGCCGUACCGGAAGGUGCGGCUGGAUCACCUCCUAA
rnacentral:rRNA from 1 species